rnacentral:rRNA from 1 species
AACGUAGGAGGCAAGCGUUAUCCGGAGUUACUGGGCGUAAAGCGUGCGCAGGCGGAUGGGUAAGUGGGUUGUGAAAGCGCCCGGCUAAACCGGGCGAGGACAAUUCAGACUGUCCAUCUAGAGGCGGAUAGAGGGGUGCGGAAUUCCGGGUGUAGCGGUGAAAUGUGUAGAGAUCCGGAGGAACACCAGUGGUGCAGACGGCGCCCUGGGUCCGACCUGACGCUGAGGCACGAAAGCGUGGGGAGCGAACGGG